rnacentral:rRNA from 1 species
UACGUAGGGUGCUAGCGUUGUCCGGAUUUAUUGGGCGUAAAGGGUGCGUAGGCGGCCUGACAAGUCAUGAUGUGGAAAUCCCCUGGGCUCAACCCAGGGCCUGCAUCGGAAACUGUCGGGCUUGAGUAUGGGAGAGGUGAGUGGAAUUUCCGGUGUAGCGGUGAAAUGCGUAGAUAUCGGAAGGAACACCUGUGGCGAAAGCGGCUCACUGGACCAUUACUGACGCUGAGGCACGAAAGCUAGGGAGCAAACAG